rnacentral:rRNA from 1 species
GGAAGUAAAAGUCGUAACAAGGUCUCCGUUGGUGAACCAGCGGAGGGAUCAUUACCGAGUUUACAACUCCCAAACCCAAUGUGAACCAUACCAAACUGUUGCCUCGGCGGGGUCACGCCCCGGGUGCGUCGCAGCCCCGGAACCAGGCGCCCGCCGGAGGGACCAACCAAACUCUUUCUGUAGUCCCCUCGCGGACGUUAUUUCUUACAGCUCUGAGCAAAAAUUCAAAAUGAAUCAAAACUUUCAACAACGGAUCUCUUGGUUCUGGCAUCGAUGAAGAACGCAGCGAAAUGCGAUAAGUAAUGUGAAUUGCAGAAUUCAGUGAAUCAUCGAAUCUUUGAACGCACAUUGCGCCCGCCAGUAUUCUGGCGGGCAUGCCUGUCCGAGCGUCAUUUCAACCCUCGAACCCCUCCGGGGGGUCGGCGUUGGGGAUCGGGAACCCCUAAGACGGGAUCCCGGCCCCGAAAUACAGUGGCGGUCUCGCCGCAGCCUCUCAUGCGCAGUAGUUUGCACAACUCGCACCGGGAGCGCGGCGCGUCCACGUCCGUAAAACACCCAACUUCUGAAAUGUUGACCUCGGAUCAGGUAGGAAUACCCGCUGGACUUAAGCAUAUCAAUAAGCGGAGGA